rnacentral:rRNA from 2 species
UGGGGAAUUUUGGACAAUGGGGGCAACCCUGAUCCAGCAAUGCCGCGUGUGUGAAGAAGGCCUUCGGGUUGUAAAGCACUUUUGUCCGGAAAGAAAUCCUCUGGGUUAAUACCUCGGGGGGAUGACGGUACCGGAAGAAUAAGCACCGGCUAACUACGUGCCAGCAGCCGCGGUAAUACGUAGGGUGCAAGCGUUAAUCGGAAUUACUGGGCGUAAAGCGUGCGCAGGCGGUUUGCUAAGACCGAUGUGAAAUCCCCGGGCUUAACCUGGGAACUGCAUUGGUGACUGGCAAGCUAGAGUGUGGCAGAGGGGGGUAGAAUUCCACGUGUAGCAGUGAAAUGCGUAGAGAUGUGGAGGAAUACCGAUGGCGAAGGCAGCCCCCUGGGCCAACACUGACGCUCAUGCACGAAAGCGUGGGGAGCAAACA